rnacentral:rRNA from 1 species
UACGUAGGGGGCAAGCGUUGUCCGGAAUUAUUGGGCGUAAAGAGCGUGUAGGCGGCCAGAUAGGUCAGCUGUGAAAACUCGAGGCUCAACCUCGAGAUGUCGGCUGAAACCAUCUGGCUAGAGUCCGGAAGAGGAGAGUGGAAUUCCUGGUGUAGCGGUGAAAUGCGCAGAUAUCAGGAAGAACACCCGUGGCGAAGGCGGCUCUCUGGGACGGUACUGACGCUGAGACGCGAAAGCGUGGGGAGCGAACAGG